rnacentral:lncRNA from 1 species
UUCAUUGGAGCUAGGCAAGUCAUAUACAGCUUCAUCAAAGAAUUCUGCUGCUUUGCUGGCUGAAGCCCAUUUGUUCUUUUCUUUUGAUUAGGUGAAUCUUGAUACUGUUUUCUGCCAUUUCCCCUCAUACUUUGAUUCUUUCCUUUUAAAAGGUCAGACAUUUCAGAAUGAUUAUUAUAUGGCUUUUGCUGCAGUGGUUGCCUGUGCUUUACCCACUGGUCACCAGGAGAACCGUCAGGAAAUAACUGCUGACUGUGGCGGAAUUUGGUUCGACUCAAUUUUUCCACAGUGGGUUUAGCCGGCGUGCUACCAGUUGAGGAAAAUCCAUUGUCACUGUCUGAGGAAUCGCCAAAUCUUCGAGAAAGCCAGUCCCUUAAUGGUCUGAUAAAGGGAAUGGCCAUAAAAAAUUUGUUAGGUGCCAAACCAAGUUUGGAUUUGGGUGUCAUAUCAUUUCUAUGACAAGGCAAUUUCUCAAUAGAGAACCACUCAAUGUUCCGAAUUUCUCUUCUAGUUUUUGGGUUAAAUUUUGUGUCUUUUGGAAUUCCUGGAAUGAUGUACAAACGAGCAAGCUGGUCAUUGAUUCGAAGUUCAAUGUAAUCAUCCUUACAAAUAUAGUCUUUGAUAUCAAAACCAGUUUCUUCAAAGACCUCUCUAGCAGCACAAUCAUGAGGAGCUUCUUCUUUAUUUACUUUUCCUUUUGGAAAUCCCCAGCCUGAUUUUGCUAGGUACCCCUGAACCAGUAGUACAUUUUCAAGUGUCUCAUCAAGAAUAAUUGCACCAUAUGUUGGUACUCCCAUUUUAUAUUCCUUCCAUUCAUCCAAAACUUUUUCCACAUCUUCACCUUGAGGCAGCAAAAACGGACAAUGACUGAAGACAGCUUUAGCAAAGUCUCUUAUCCCACACUGAGGUAAUCCUGGUGUGUUCUGCAUGUAGAAAUCCAAGUAAAACCAAUGGGCAAGUUCAAUCUGAAAACACACUCGGAUUGCAUUGUCUCUUUCCUCGCUGGGAAUAUGCAAAAUAAAUCGGCUGCAGAGAUCGUCCAGGACGCUGCCGGGAAUCUCCACCCGUUUGGUCUCCAUGAUGAGGACCCACAGCAGGAACAGUGCAUCCCGGCUCCGCGCGGCCGGGGACUGACGGUACGGCACUAGGACUCCGGCUCGCCGGAGAGCUGGCAGCCGAGGAAGCCGCGGCAGAGACGACUCCAACGGAGACGAGAAGAGGA